GGAAAUCGCGCGGUGCUGUGAAUACUUUCCAGAUGCACUGUAUGAGAGGUAUGGAUGGACUGUUUGUCUGCCUGGGAUGUUGACACGCAGGACCAAGGGUGAUUCUGUCGUGCAAUGUUUCUGGCAGCAUGCAACACCAGCAUGCUCCCAGAUCUGCCCUUCACACCAGUUCAUAAUAAGAAAGUCUGUUGAAGCACUUGUUAAAGGCCUGUAUUUGCACUCCAACUGUUUUAUGCUUGUUAUUUCUGGCUGAAGCUAA